rnacentral:lncRNA from 1 species
CAAUUAUUUGCUUAUGUUAAUCUAUUAUCUACUUUGCUCCCAGACUAUCUGUUCUUAUUGACUCAUGAACCUUUUGUGAUCAUGGAAGAGAAUGGAAAUGAAUAUUCCACUGUUUAAGUAAACAAGGUUUUGCCCUAAAUAAACUGCCAACCUGAUAUGAUUGCACACGGAGUCCAAAUAACACCCUCAUUCUCUACCCCAGAAAACUCCAAAAGGCUCUGGGCUUGAAGAAUUAUCGUGCUAUAAAUAUAAACUAAAAAUCCUAGAAACACAAAAGAAAAUAAAUUAUAACCACUCACACUGAAAGCAAUUGCCAUCUAAAUAAGAUUGAGUGUUCUCUAAGCCUGAAGAAUAAAGCAUCCAUUUUGAUUUUUUUUUAACAGAAGACUGAGUGUUGGAUAAUUUAUUCCAAAUGCAAGAGAAUACAAUCUAAAAGGUUGUAGGGAUAAAUGAAGAUUUGGAAAAUUACAGAUGAAUAUCAGUACAUGCAAUGCUUCCAUUUUUGAAGCAACCAGUAGGCGUUCCAGGAACUGAGUGUCUGGAGAGAGAGACUCCUGUGGCCCUGAAAAAGCAAACCACCAUGAGUUCUACUACAGCAGAAGAAAAAUUCUGUCAUCAGCCAUUAAGUUUGCAGCACAAUCCCAGCUUCAGGUGACCCGAUAGUCCAACCGGAAUUUUGCCUGCAUUCUUUGAGACUUAGAUCAGGUAACUCAACCCACUGGAAAUUGUGUGGUCAUUCAUGUAUGUUCCUUUAGGCUGCUAAGUUUGGGAUAAUUUACCAUGCAUUGAUAGAAACUAAUACAUUUUCUUGCCACUUUUCUGAAUUUUCAAGAUAUUUCGUAAUAAAUCUUCAUUUCAUAACUGAAGAGAAGGUUAUUUAUAAGAAAAAUUGAAGAAAAUUAAUGUGGAUAAU